rnacentral:rRNA from 1 species
AGUCAAUAGAUACCCAGGUAGUCCACGCCGUAAACGAUGUCGACUUGGAGGUUGUGCCCUUGAGGCGUGGCUUCCGGAGCUAAACGCGUUAAGUCGACCGCCUGGGGAGUACGGCCGCAAGGUUAAAACUCAAAUGAAUUGACGGGGGCCCGCACAAGCGGUGGAGCAUGUGGUUUAAUUCGAUGCAACGCGAAGAACCUUACCUACUCUUGACAUCCAGAGAACUUAGCAGAGAUGCUUUGGUGCCUUCGGGAACUCUGAGACAGGUGCUGCAUGGCUGUCGUCAGCUCGUGUUGUGAAAUGUUGGGUUAAGUCCCGCAACGAGCGCAACCCUUAUCCUUUGUUGCCAGCGGUUAGGCCGGGAACUCAAAGGAGACUGCCAGUGAUAAACUGGAGGAAGGUGGGGAUGACGUCAAGUCAUCAUGGCCCUUACGAGUAGGGCUACACACGUGCUACAAUGGCGCAUACAAAGAGAAGCGACCUCGCGAGAGCAAGCGGACCUCAUAAAGUGCGUCGUAGUCCGGAUUGGA